ensembl:lncRNA
AGGGAUUUUGCUCAAGAUCCCCCUGUACCCAAGGCUUUCUGAAGCAGCUGUGCCACCCUGUGUCUGCAAGCUGGGAACAUCCCACUCACAACCGACCUGCCCCUCACUGGGACUGAGAAGUGCUCACUACCUGUGGCAGAUUAACUGAGGGUGUGUGGUGGAUGGGUGGUGCUGGGCUCUCCUCCAGUGCAUGGCUUUGAUUUAUUGGUGCCUCCUGACCCUGACAGCUGGCUCUGUUCCGUGCACAGCAGUCCUUGGAUCAUCAUGAGAGAAGGCAUAGUGAGAAGCCAAAUGCAUGGAAGUCAUGCCUUGUAGCAGAGCUUGAAGGCAUUAUCACCAGUGGCAAACUGUGACAGUAUGGACCUGCUGACCCCGUAUUGCCCCAGGAGCUGUGCAGGGGUGAGUGAGGACCUGCUGUCACAUCCCACUUUGCUGUUGUCCAAUGGAAUCCAACUGUGGUCCUGGACAUACAUGAAGGUUUUGUCCCAGAGACAAGCUCCACUCCUUGCCUUGUGCUCACCCCUGUGUCAAUUAGAAGAACUGAUGAUCCCUUGUAAAUGUGUAACAGCUGGGAUUACCUCUGUGGGAUGAACGUUUUGCCAACCUUGAGGUUAGUUAUCCAAAAACUCUUGCCAGAAACAACAAACCUGGCACCUGCUGUGAGUACACCUGGUGCCAAACAUCACAGCAGGGCAUGGUAAGAAGAACCCUCCAACAUCCAGCCUGCCACUGCCACCCAUGUCCAGUCAUCAGCCCAGCCCUGAGAUGGACACUGGUGUUUGAGAUGGGUGGGUAUGCCUUGGAGUUUGCGUAGGGAAGGCUUGAAACUGAAAUGCAUGAGAUUGAGUGCCUUGGCUUGUUUUUCUUCUUUGCUUUGCCUUGGCUCGCUGAACAACCCCAUCUGGCUUUUCUGAACAGCAGUGUUACUCACCUUGUGCUUUAUGCUUUCCUGGGGAUCAGUAAUAAACAUCCCUUCAGUCGAUAAUGAAACAGGAAGGAAAAUUAGCGGCGCUUCUACCGUGAGCUCAAAGCCAAUCAAUCCCAGAGAAAUGCCAUGGCUCUCACACAGGGGUCAGAUACCUGCUGGGACUGAUGCCCACCUCUCCCUUCUUCAGCUUUAUACGUCCCUGUUUUUCCAACAAAUGCUAUUUUUCUCCCUAAAUUCAAACCUUUCCCAGGAGCAGAUGGCUCCUCCAUCUAUUUCUACCUUUAAGGUGACAUUUGGCAAAGCUUUAAAAUCAUCCAUGUAUUCGUUUAGAGCAGGGAAAGGCUUGGGGGGAGGUGGAGGGAGCUGAGGAAAGGCAGACCCACCUGGCUUUGGGAUGACUGCUUCAGGGAGACAAUUGCAACCCACAAAUAUUGAAUGAUAUUGGUGCCGUGGAAGGAAAUAUUUAUGGUGGAAGAGGUGGGGGGUGAAAACAGAGGCCCAGGCUGAGUGCUAAGAAGAAGUAUCCGCCUGUGAAUUUGCCUUCUGAGUGCAGGUGAGGUGGAAGCUCCAUCAUUUGGGGAUGCUCAGAAUUGCACUGAACAAGGUCUGAGUGAAUUCCCUCCAGGGAGCAAUCAUGCACCAGCUGAGACAGAUCAAUCCUGCCUCCACACCUCUGCCUUUCACUACAUUUUCUUGUAGAACUGUGGGUAUCACUAAGGAAAUUAUUAGACCCCUUUCCCCAUGGCUGUGUGCUGCCUCCCUUCCACAAGAGCUGCAAUGGCCCUGCCGCAUUGGUUUUCCCAGGGCUGUUUGAACUCUGUGUGUAGGGAAGAGGGAUGCUCAGCCCCUGCAUUGCAGUGGGUUCUGUGGCCAUCAUGCUGCCAUUGACUGCAACCAGCCCCAACAACAGGUGUCUAAGGACUACAAGCAAAGCAGUUUGGCAUCAUCCUUCCUCUGGCACCAUGGGUGUUGUCAGAGGGAUGGAUAACAAAAGAGAAAGAGAGCAAAGGAGAGCCAGAGCUGCUGGAGUGAGAUGCCUGUUGGGAGCUGGAAAAUAAUCCAAAGCCUUUCCCAGAAGAGCUCAAGGAUUAAAGCAUCCAUUCUGGGGUGGGCAGCAUGAAGGCUGGCAGUGGUUGGGCAGCACCACAUGUGAAAAAGCUUUGUGGAAGGAAAGCCUCGGUGCCCAGAGAGAGCUGAGCUCUUGACUGAUGUGUCUG